CCUACGGGAGGCAGCAGUGAGGAAUAUUGGUCAAUGGCCGCAGGGCUGAACCAGCCAAGUCGCGUGAGGGAUGACGGUCCUAUGGAUUGUAAACCUCUUUUGUCAGGGAGCAAAGGGCGCCACGUGUGGCGCUUUGCGAGUACCUGAAGAAAAAGCAUCGGCUAACUCCGUGCCAGCAGCCGCGGUAAUACGGAGGAUGCGAGCGUUAUCCGGAUUUAUUUGGUUUAAAGGGAGCGUAGAUGGGUUGUUAAGUCAGUUGUGAAAGUUUGGGGCUCAACCGUAAAAUUGCAAUUGAUACUGGCAGUCUUGAGUACAGUUGAGGUAGGCGGAAUGCGUGGUGUAGCGGUGAAAUGCUUAGAUAUCACGAAGAACUCCGAUUGCGAAGGCAGCUUACUAAACUGCCACUGACAUUGAUGCUCGAAAGUGUGGGUAUCAAACAGGAUUAGAUACCCGGGUAGUC
rnacentral:rRNA from 1 species